CCUACGGGUGGCAGCAGUGAGGAAUAUUGGUCAAUGGCCGGAAGGCUGAACCAGCCAAGCCGCGUGAAGGACGAAGGUGCCAAGCAUUGUAAACUUCUUUUGUCAAGGGACAAAAUCAGGCUCGAGAGCCUGACCGAGGGGACUUGACGAAAAAGCAUCGGCUAACUCCGUGCCAGCCGCCGCGGGAAUACGGAGGAUGCGAGCGUUAUCCGGAUUUAUUGGGGUUAAAGGGUGCCUAGGCGGACUGUUAAGUCAGCGGUGAAAGGCCCGGGCAUAACCCCCGGCGAGCCUUUGAAACUAGCUGGCUAGAGAGGUGGAGAGGUAUGCGGAAUGCGCAGUGUAGCGGUGAAAUGCGUAGAUAUUGCGCAGAACUCCGAUGGCGAAGGCAGCAUACCGGAGGAGAUCUGACGCUGAGGCACGAAAGCGUGGGGAGCGAACAGGAUUAGAUACCCGAGUAGUC
rnacentral:rRNA from 1 species